UGUAAAAAGCGUUUGCCUAUAUAAGCAAACACUUGGGCAAACACUUUUUACAUUGCACAGUUACAAAAUUACGUAUUGUGUUUUAUGAUAAUUAUUUAAUUCAGUAUUAAUAUAGACACACAACAAUCACGAUGGACUUGAUGCUUCAGGCUGGGCUCUUUUUUCUCGCUGUCCACAGCGUUGCUGGCUCCCAUCAACCAGUGAAAGUCGGACCCGGACAGGACGCCAUUCUGCCAUGCCACCUGGAGCCCCCAUUCCACGUGACCACUCAGAUGGUGGAGUGGAAACGUUAUGGGCAACAAGUUCACUUAUAUCGAAGUAAGGCUGACAGUCUGGAUGAUCAGGACGAGAACUUCAGAAACAGAACAUCUCUCUUCCAAGAUGAAAUGGACAAAGGAAACAUCUCCCUAAAACUGACCAACGUAACUGAAGUGGAUGCUGGAAAUUACACCUGCCAUGUUCGUUUUAAAAAUGAAUACGGCUUAUUUGAAGUCAGAAUAUACAACGUUACCCUCAUUGUUGAUGGUGGUACCAGGACUGACCCUACCAACACUUUGUCCGGACGGGGACGUCACCGGCAGAGACACAGCCACAGCCGUCAUCGUCGUCAUCAUCAUCAUCAUCAUCGUCAUCGCCGCAAGUUUUACAUAUCUUCUUAAAUUCACCUUUUAAUUGCAUUAGCAUAUAACCUGAUACACUCUAAAAACUACUUAGAUAUAACUUAAGAAAAUUAAGACAACAUUGUCCAACCACUUUUUGUAAGUUUAGCGAACAUCUUGUUUUUCUAAGUUGGUAAAACUCAGUAAUAAACAUUUUGGAAUAUGCUAAAUUAUUAAGUAAAGUCUACAAAAUAAAUAAAUAAAAUUAAGUUCAACCAUUGUUAAUAUAGAGAGCAUGUUAACCACAAACACCUAAUUAAAUUAAGUUACAUUUAAAAUAAAAAGUUUAUUUAAAUCAAAUCAUGUACUUAUUUUUUUAUGUUGUCAAAUUAUUUUUUUCUGUUUUUUAAAGUACAAUUUACUUCAAAUAAUUAGUUAGCAUUGACAUACAUUUACCAAAGAAAAGAGGUAUUUAAUUCCAGCAUUUAUUAAACAGCUAUUAAAUCCAGUCAUGGCAAAACUAAAUGGAAAUAAAUUAUGUGAUAUGAAUGUGUAGUUGAGUACCUCCACAGUACAGCAACCUUCCUGUGUACAACUCGUAAUCUUGAAGGGACACAUUUGACCAUUUUAAACAUCACGGCUUAACAGUGAAUGCAUCAUUUGACAUCAUGGAUUUAAAUUGGCACAUGCAUUCCUUUAAAACUUACUAGUUUACAUACUAGAACAUGUGACCUCAGCUUUCCAACUGCAGCUUGGUACAAUGUCUUCAGUGUCUUUCAGUGAGUACAUCGGUUAAAUAAUUUCGAAAUAACAGAAAAAUGUUCAUGAAAAGAAAUGAUCACGGUUCAAGUUAGUUUUGGACCCAGUGCAGAGUCCCACAAAGUGCUUGAAAGGCCUUCAUGUACAACUCAAGAAUACGCUCAUCAGGCCCAGAAAAAUUUAACAUCCUUGAAGAGAAAAAACUAAACAGUCUUCAGUCCAAGGCCAACAAUCAUGUUUCACUGCAAGAAGCAUGUUUUUGAGGCUUAUGAACUUGGAAGUUUGUUUUGGGCGCAGUGCAUCAAGUACACAAACAGCAUGCUCUGGCCAGAUUGCAGAGAUUUAAGCACUGGGUCUCUCUCUCUCUCUCGCUCCACUGCAUCUGGUUCAUGGCAACCAUAGAUCCUCAGUGCAUUUUCAGGUCCUCGUGCACACUGCUCUCUGCAGUUCCCUGUAUGACAGACAAUCAGAAUACCAAAAUUAAGAAACGGUUAUUUAUUGUCAUUUAAAUCAAUAUUAAAAUGUUAUGGUCAUAUACCAUAACGAUAGCCAAUCAUUUUUGCUUUGACUUUUAUUUUGCAUAGACUUACAGAUUGUUAAAUGUGCGUGCAAGGAUCACCUGAUGCACAUAUGAGGUUACAUACAUACAUGUUCAUCAGUUAGCAACACUUUAUUUAAAAUUACAAACAUUUAUAGGCUACUGAUUGAAAAGCCAGUAUGCCCUUUUUUCCAGCAGUAAUGAUGGAAGAGGGUCCUAGAGUUAAUAAGUGAAUAAUGAAAAAAAUAGCAAUGCCACUCCAAACCUCAUCAUCACUGCUGUCUGAAUAUUGUUUUUAUACACUACCAUUAAAAGGUUUUAGGAAUCCCCCGUUUUUUUAUUUUGUGUUAUAAUUUAAGUACUUGAAGUGUAGGUCACCAAAACUGAAAGAUAAAUGUAAUCAAAAUGUUCAGGUAUCAAGUAACCUAUAAGAAGUAAAUUAAGCUUUAAUGCAAACUGACUUCCAAAACUGUCUGUUUAAGACAGUGUAUGUAUUUAGGACAUAGGAUAAUUUAUUUGGGAAUGGACUGGUAGUGUAGCUUUUUUUUAACCUUCAAAUUUGUUACGAGCUGUAAACCAGUUGUAACUUUUUAUAAAACACUUGCCAUGUCCAUCCAAAUGGAGAAAGAAAACAAAACAACAAACUUGUUUAAUGCAUGUGUUCCUAAAACUUAAAACUUAUUUUAACCACUUUUGGAUUACAUAAUUUCUCAUAAUAACAGUUUGACACAAAAACAUGUAUUGCAAAAACCUUUAAAAGAUGUAUGUUACUCUGAUUGCUUACCUAAUAUGUAUCUGAAUGAGACAGAGCUUUGUGGGGGUAGCUGCUGUGCUCUCUGGAGUAGAUUUGAUGGUCUCCUUGAGAAACAAAAAUCAAAGGUGAAUAUAACCAUAUGGAAAUAUUAUACAAGAAAUGUACAUUUGAGUUUGCACAGUAAACCAGAGUUACGUAUCCACUCUGUUAGAAUUUUUUAUUUACCAAACCUGUUAUGACUUAAAGAAAAAUGUUCUAGUUCUGUUAUAACGUGUUCUUGUAAUGUUACAAGAACAAGCUUAUAUGAUUUCAUAAAUGCUAUGACAAAACUUUGCACAACAUACAAUCUGUUUGCUGAUGCUGAAAGCCAAAAAAACUAUCUUUACGAAACAGAAAAACAUGCAUUGCCUGCGUUUUUUCUCUAAAUGGACAUUCUUUCAGUUAAAGUUCUGUUCUAUGCCACAGGUUACUCCCACUAACGUUACCAUGCAGGCUAUCUGGAUAAUACGUGUCAAGAAGCACAUGCAGCAACAUGACUUGCAACAGUUUGUUCAAAGCUAGUAAUUAACAUCCUUUAAUUUUCUCUUUAUGGCUGCUUAGCUUGAGGCGAGUUGUUUGAGACUAGAUUAAAACUGACCGUUACUCCGCCAUCUUAAGUCCAGACAUUCAGACAUUGCGGCCACAAGAGGAAUGGUCGAUUUAUUGAAAUGUUCUACUAAAAAGGGGAUACCAUUUGAUGUUAAUAAAAAAAAAAAAAACACAAAGUAGAAACCACAUUUGACUAACAUAGACUGUAAGGUUAACGUUAGCUAAUGUUUGAUCUUAACGUUAGUGCACAUUUGGAAGAGCCUCGUGGCAUCCUCACAAUUGGUAAUGUUAAUGUUAGACAAACAUAUGAUAGAGGAAACCAAGUGCUAUUUUAGCAUGAGAUAGAGAAAAGUAGACAUUUAAUUUUGAGUAUAAUCUUUCACAGAUAAAAAUUGUUACAUAUAUAUGUUUUGAGAAGUAAUGUCCUCCGCAAGCUCUGCAAAAAAACGUGGACAGCAGCAGGGUCAUGUACAUUUUAAAAUAAAGUCAUAUGGACAGUUCCACUGAAGGACUUUUUAGAGUGUACUAAUGUGUUUCUUAUCCAAAUGUUUAGAACAAACUCAGCUUUCUGAGGGCCAGGCCGUGUUACGUAGCACACCAGGAAGUAACACGGCCACGUUGCUUGCCCAUUUUAUUUGUUGAUUGGCACAAAAACCAGGAAUGGCUGCUACCUGCACAAGCAGCAUUUCUAUGAAAUAAUUUGCUCUGGCUUUUAAAGUCUCAUAAUUAUGCACAUGAACAGUACGAGUCCAGAUACUGACCAAAGGUGCCUGUUUAGGAACUAGAAAUGUGAACGGACCUAUUUUUUGAAUGUAUUUUUUUACUGAAAUGUAUUUAUAUUGUCCGAAUGAACAUUAUUUUGUAUUUGUACUGUCUGAGGAAUGAAACAGCGUAAAGCCGAAGGACGUGUGAAGUUGAAUUUUUUUGUAGAUAUUGCUCCUGUGGUGUAAAAUUGUGAUGUACAGUAAAUAUUAAAUACAGGUAACAUUUUUGUCCUUUU